ensembl:misc_RNA 7SK 7SK RNA
GGAUUUGAGGGCAAUCAGACUGUGACAUCUGUCACCCCAUUGAUUGCCAGGGUUGAUUCAGCUGAUCUGGCGGCUAGGUGGGUGUCUCCUUUCUCCCUCAUGGCUCCAUGUGCUCCACGUGCGUCCCUACCGAAGCUGCGUGCUCUGUCGAAAAGGACGACCUUCCCUGAAUAGAAGACGACCGGUCUUUGGUCAAGGAUAUAGCUGUGCUCCCCUGCUAGAACCUCUAAACAAGCUCUCAAGAAUAGUCUUGACCUUCAUAUUCAGGGACCCUAGUAGAAAGCAUGGGAUGGCUAAAGCCUGAAUCUUGAACUGCCUUGCCAGGGC